GACGAACGCUGGCGGCGUGCCUAAUACAUGCAAGUAGAACGCUGAAGGAGGAGCUUGCUUCUCUGGAUGAGUUGCGAACGGGUGAGUAACGCGUAGGUAACCUGCCUGGUAGCGGGGGAUAACUAUUGGAAACGAUAGCUAAUACCGCAUAAGAGUAGAUGUUGCAUGACAUUUGCUUAAAAGGUGCAAUUGCAUCACUACCAGAUGGACCUGCGUUGUAUUAGCUAGUUGGUGAGGUAACGGCUCACCAAGGCGACGAUACAUAGCCGACCUGAGAGGGUGAUCGGCCACACUGGGACUGAGACACGGCCCAGACUCCUACGGGAGGAAGCAGUAGGGAAUCUUCGGCAAGGGACGGAAGUCUGACCGAGCAACGCCGCGGGAGGGAAGAAGGGUGUCGGAUCGUAAAGCUCUGUUGUAAGAGAAGAACGAGUGUGAGAGUGGAAAGUUCACACUGUGACGGUAUCUUACCAGAAAGGGACGGCUAACUACGUG
rnacentral:rRNA from 1 species